rnacentral:rRNA from 1 species
CCUACGGGAGGCAGCAGUGAGGAAUAUUGGUCAAUGGGCGGAAGCCUGAACCAGCCAAGUCGCGUGAGGGAUUAAGGCCCUGCGGGUCGUAAACCUCUUUUGCCGGGGAGCAGUGGUCCGGACGCGUCCGGACCGGGAGAGUACCCGGAGAAAAAGCAUCGGCUAACUCCGUGCCAGCAGCCGCGGUAAUACGGAGGAUGCGAGCGUUAUCCGGAUUUAUUGGGUUUAAAGGGUGUGUAGGCGGGCAUUUAAGCCGGCGGUCAAAUGUCGGGGCUCAACCCCGGCCUGCCGUCGGAACUGGGUGCCUUGAGUGGGCGAGAAGUAUGCGGAAUGCGCAGUGUAGCGGUGAAAUGCUUAGAUAUUGCGCAGAACUCCGAUUGCGAAGGCAGUAUACCGGCGGCGAUCUGACGCUGAGGCACGAAAGCGUGGGUAUCGAACAGGAUUAGAUACCCUUGUAGUC